UGAAAUUAAAUUAUAUGACCUGAGCUGAAAACUUUAGAAUGCUCUGAGCAGGGAACUUUUGUAUUGGAUACCGAUAUCCACAGUCGGCACUUAGAUUUUGGAUAUCCACAGUCGGCACUUAGAUUUUGGAUAUCCACAGUCGGCACUUAGAUUUUGGAUAUUCACAGUCGGUACUUAGAUUUUGGAUAUCCACAGUCGGCACGUAGAUUUUGGAUAUUCACAGUCGGUACUUAGAUUUUGGAUAUCCACAGUCGGCACUCAGAUUUUGGAUAUUCACAGUCGGCACUUAGAUUUUGGAUAUCCACAGUCGGCACUUAGAUUUUGGAUAUUCACAGUCGGCACUUAGAUUUUUGAUAUCCACAGUCGGCACUUAGAUUUUGGAUAUCCACAGUCGGCACUUAGAUUUUGGAUAUUCACAGUCGGUACUUAGAUUUUGGAUAUCUGCAAUUUCUCUGGCUUCUGUUUGGCUGUUCGGUUUUCCACUGUCAACUGUCGACACUCUUCACUAGAUAUUGAAUAAAAAUUGAAAUAAUCUAGAUUCAGUAAAGAACGAAAUCAAGCAUUGAUCUCGAUAUCCACAAUACAAGAUUUCCCACCUCUUAGGGCGAAACUUUUGAACUCCACACAAAGUGUUUUCUUUUAAAUUGAAGAAUUUAAGUUUAAAUCCGGGCAUACUGCAUGUACUAGAAAUCCUUUCAUAGAUAAUUGAGAAAGGAUCUGAAGAUGUUCAGGGUUAACCGUCAAGGAUAAGAUUUCAGACACGACUGUACAAAAUGUAUACUAUAUCUUCUCUUAUAAUCAUAAUUUCUGCAAAUAACUCAUUCCUUUCUUUGACAAAUCAUUAAAUAUCCCAUUUUAAACCAGCAUUCGAGACAAAAGUCAUGAUCUAAACUUGGAAUCGACAUUUUUGUAAACGUUUCAAGUCGUCUUCACAGUUUCAACCUUUGUGGGUAAACCUGUAUUUAAAUAUUGAACAACUACUUUAAGGGGUAUAAAAACCGUCUGAAGUCACCGAUUUAAAAACAUAAGUUACGUAGUUUGUUCAAUACGCUUAAAAUAUUCUGACAUAAUACGCUUAAUAUCCAUAACGAUGUAAGAUUUAGAACUGUAAAUAUAAAAAAGAUACUUAAAAAUAUUCAUAAUACAAUCUAAAUAAAAAUUAUUGAAAAAUCGA